CUGCUCUCCAUGUCACACAGUUUGUUGGAGAACAACUGUAGAGUUAAUGAUACACUGGAUUUGCAUUGAUUGCUCAACAUGUCCAGAUAAAUAAAAAAAAAAAAAGCUGACAGCCUGACAACACACGUUUAAGGUAUUAAAACCCCAGUAGGACAAUUUAUCAGGUGAGCUGUCUUUACAUUUUUUUAUGUGGAUUAUAAGAGUGCUUCCAGCAAAACCUGGCAUUUAAUUUCUCUUACAAUAAAAAGAUUGAUGUUACCGAGACAUUGUGAAAACAUGAAGACAGUGAUUCCUGCUCUUCUGGUAUUGUUGGUUGUCAGCCAGGGUCCUGCCUACUACAAGGGUUUUAUGACAGCUAAUGACUGCAUGUUCAUGAACUGUCCCGGUAUAUCAUCUGCCUCUUGCUGCAGGACUGAUAUGUGGAACUAUAUAUGUGAUAUGUGAUACGGCACGGUGCAAACAGGCAAUAAAAAAUAAAUUUUCUAUAAAUAGAAAAGACAAGUAAACAAUCAAAAAUUUAACAGACAUAAAAUAAACAACAAUCAAGAAUUAAGGCACUUGGGUAUCUACAUGGUGAAAUAAAAUAGGAUAAAUAAGUAAAGUAUUUAAACAGGUGAGGUAGUGCGGUGUAGUGCAAAUAAACAGUGCAAAUAAACAGUGGAAAGUGAAAUGUGCAGUCGAGGGGGGUAUUGCACAAAACCAAGAUAUGGGAUUAAGCCGGGAUAUGUUGGUUAUCCUGGCUUAAUUUUGCCUCAAGUCAGCAGGUCAAGUUACUAUGGUGAUUUAUUCUCUGCAGCUAGCCUGCUCCAGACCAGGUUAACAGCCAGGCUAACAUUAAUCCUAGUGAUUCACCUGUAUUUCCACCGUCAAUCCUGUGAGGAAUUAAUGUGUUUUACAGCAUGUCCAUGGUCUUUCUAAGUAUGUUGCAUCAUUUUAAUUAUCCUGCAUUAAAAUAUUACAUAUAUAUUGUCAUUUCUCAUUUCAUUUAAAUCUGUUGGCUGUUUGUAAUUGCAACAGUCUUUUUAUAUUGAUCCAAGUGGUAGUAUUAUUACUCAGGACAAGUGUUAUAUUGCUAUGCUAAUGAAGACUGCUUGUCAAACUGCCGUCAGAGGUUUCAUAAAUAUGUGUUUUAUUGCAGUAAUUGAGAUUACAAAACACAGCUGAUGAAGUUGCAAAGGUGUUUUCAAUGAAAUCUGUGACAAGGGCAAUAUAGUAGGCUAUAUAUAUAUAUAUAUAUAUAUAUAUAUAUAUACACACAUCUAUAUAUAUGUAUAUAUAUACAUCUAGUACAUAGUGUUUUUUAUUAUUUCCCUACUCUUACUGUUUAUUUAUACUGUUUUCUCUCUAUCCGCUACUGUUACAAUAAAGGAAUAUAUUUAUCUAUCUAUCUAUCUAUCUAUCUAUCUAUCUAUCUAUCUAUCUAUCUAUCUAUCUAUCUAUCUAUCUAUCUAUCUAUCCAACUCCCAUUCACCUGUUCCCUCUUCAUAAUGGCUUACCCUUUCUUGGAGGAUGUACUGGAUGAGGAAGCCCUAAUCCUCAGACGAGCAUUUAGUCAUGAAAGAGUCUUCCGGGACAGGUCAAACCCAUUGGCCUUUGGAGAUGACUAUCUCAUUGAGAGAUACAGAUUCUCAGGUGACGGACUAAGAUAUUUAUGUAGGCUGCUGGGUCCAAAAAUACAGCACCAGACGGCAGGAAGCCAUGCUCUCACUGUACCACAGAUGGUCUGUGUUACAUUGAGAUGUUUUGCAAGUGGGAGCUUCCUUUAUUCUGUUGGGGAUGCAGAGAACCUCAAUAAAGGAACCAUUUGCCGAACAUAUCCUGGCUUGGUGGGCCGC